rnacentral:rRNA from 1 species
CAGGCCUAACACAUGCAAGUCGAGCGGCAGCGGAAAGUAGCUUGCUACUUUGCCGGCGAGCGGCGGACGGGUGAGUAAUGUCUGGGAAACUGCCUGAUGGAGGGGGAUAACUACUGGAAACGGUAGCUAAUACCGCAUAAUGUCGCAAGACCAAAGAGGGGGACCUUCGGGCCUCUUGCCAUCAGAUGUGCCCAGAUGGGAUUAGCUAGUAGGUGGGGUAAUGGCUCACCUAGGCGACGAUCCCUAGCUGGUCUGAGAGGAUGACCAGCCACACUGGAACUGAGACACGGUCCAGACUCCUACGGGAGGCAGCAGUGGGGAAUAUUGCACAAUGGGCGCAAGCCUGAUGCAGCCAUGCCGCGUGUAUGAAGAAGGCCUUCGGGUUGUAAAGUACUUUCAGCGGGGAGGAAGGUGUUGUGGUUAAUAACCGGCAGCAUUGACGUNACCCGCAGAACAAGCACCGGCUACCUCCGUGCCAGCAGCCGCGGUAAU